rnacentral:lncRNA from 10 species
AGAGUAGAAAAAAAACUGUGUGAACAUGGUGGGCAAUGGCAGAAGGUUAUGGGGCUUGCUUAAUAAACAAGCCAGAGCUUGUUCAAGACAUGGUGAAACAAGUAAGAAAUCAAGUGGAAACCCCUGGAUUUUCAGUUUCUAUUAAAAUAAGGUAAAGACAAUAUUUCAAUCUAUUGAUAGGAUAAUCCAUUACUUAGGAAAUGAAAGAUUAUUGCUUUUGUCUGAUGCUGUUGGGAGUAUCUAUCCUAAAUAAAUUGGUAGCUGGUGUAUGGAAAUGUUGAAAAUAAGACAUUUAGUAAAAGAAUAUAUACCAUAAUUUUCAUUUAUAGUCCUGAAAAACUUCCUCUUUGUACUUUUAACAAAAGUUAAAGCCUCCCUUUAAGUUUCACCAAACUUUCAACUUUAGCUAUGUAGUAUUUAAUGUUAAGAAACAUUACUGGUGCCAAGUGUAGAAAAUAGGAAAAAUAUUUGCACUAAAAUUUCACAAUGAAAAGAAAAUAAACCAGGAAUCAGUUUUUCCGUGACAGGUUGAAAACAUAUUUCUUUUUUUGAGACAGAGUCUCACUCUGUUGCCCAGGCUGGA